GGGCGGUGCGCGGGGAGCAGCCGCAGGAGCAGGAGCAGGAUCCCGCAGCAGCGCGCGCGCCAUUGUGAGGAUUUACCGAUAACAGCCCCGCUGGUCUGGGCUUGGAGAAUCUUCACUGUGAUUGGUGGAACACACCCACCAAUCAGGUAACUGCUGGGAUGGGCUUGCCCUGCUCCUACCCAGGGUAAGGCAAAGAGCCCUUGACCUGGUUGAAGCCUGCACUUUGCUUCAACCUGAUUGGUCUGUUUGCUAUCUGGGGCUGGAGCCUCUGAAAGGUAUAAAAGAAGCAGCAUGCCCAACACAUGGCAGACCCAUCAAGGGAUGGAGAAGAGAGCAGGGCAGAAGAAGAGCUGCCCAGUGGGAGGAGCCAGUGUCCAGAAAAGCCCUGAAGACUCCCCACUCCAGUCCGAUGCUCCAACCCCAGCUGGUGCACAGCAUGGCACACGGGGCCCAGACUCUGGGAGCCAUUCAAGGCAGCUCGGGUCCCAACUCCUGCCUUGAGGCCAGGCUCCCGGUGCACAAGUGGUGCACGGUGUGGACCAGGAUCCUGGGACUUGCACUGGGCAGUUCAGGUCCCCAUCCUCCUGACAAGUGGCCAGGCUUUUUCUGUGCACGGAGGGUGCAUGGUGGGUCUGAGGCCCUGGGAGCCUCUUGAGAUGGCUCGGGUCUCCAACACCUGAUAAGUGACCAGGGCUCAGUGCAGGCUUCACUGCACGGUGGGUCCACAACAAGCCAAGACCCUUGGAGCUGCUUGAGGCUGCGUGGAUCUACAGCUGCUGGCACAGUGCCAAUGGCUCUGUGCAGACGACACUGCACAGAGGGUCCGGGAGCGGACCGAGCCCCAGCACUGCAUGAGGUGGCCCAGACCUCUAACCCCUAACAAAAGGUUGAUCCCCCCAGUGCAUGUGACAGUGUCCAGGGCCCCCAGUGGGCAGCAGCCCAAGGGGAAGCCAUUAGCCCUGGAGGCCUCUCAAGUGAGGAGCAGCAGGACCAAGGGAACGCUGACCGCCCACAGGAUCCCCUCCAGAGCCAUGAGUUGCCCAGGGAAAGGAGUCUUUUCCACAGGGGAGGAAACACCCCAGCCAGGCCGUCCUGGGUGGGUUAUUUUGGGUGGCAUCCCUGCCCGGGCCCCAAGGGCAAGAGCACUGGGGGAAUCUCCCCCCUUCUACUGGUUGCUGGAGUUCAGCCAACGCACCGGGAUCAGCCUGUGGCCCUGGGGGCUUAAAGAGUUAAGUUUAAUCUAAGGCUGAUGAGUCUUAUACAUUUUGUGACAGAGCACCUUACAUUUUUUAACAUUGCGCCUUAUAGAAGUACCCAAAAUAUAUUUGUGAAUUGGUAGUUUAACAGAGUCUAUAACCCUGCCUGGGGGGAUCCGCUGGGACCCCUUGCUAUUACUUACCUUUGUUUACCUGUGACUUAUCUGAAACCCCAGUGGUGGUAACCCAUUAUAGAGAAUAAGGUUUAUAGUUGUAUAAGAAUAUAUCAGAAUGUAUCAGAAUAUAUACUUAUAUACAUACAUAUCUGUACAUAGGUUUAUAUUUAUGUUUAUCUUUUACCCACUUAUGUAAAUAAUAAUAAAUUGGUAUAUAGUUAA